GACAGAGGAGGCAAGCGCUCUCCGGAAUUAUUGGGCGUAAAGCGUUCGUAGGUGGUUUGACAAGUCUGGGGUUAAAGCCCGGAGCCCAACUCCGGAUCGGCCCUGGAAACUGUCAGACUUGAGUAAGGUAGGGGUUGCGGGAAUUCCCGGUGUAGCGGUGAAAUGCGUAGAUAUCGGGAAGAACACCAGCGGCGAAAGCGAGCAACUGGGCCAUUACUGACACUGAGGGACGAAAGCUAGGGGAGCGAAGGGG
rnacentral:rRNA from 1 species